rnacentral:rRNA from 1 species
UACGUAGGGGGCAAGCGUUGUUCGGAGUUACUGGGCGUAAAGGGUGCGUAGGCGGCUUUUUAAGUUUGGUGUGAAAUCUCCUGGCUUAACCGGGAGGGUGCGCCGAAUACUGAGAAGCUAGAGUAUGGGAGAGGAAAGUGGAAUUCCUGGUGUAGCGGUGAAAUGCGUAGAUAUCAGGAGGAACACCGGUGGCGAAGGCGGCAUCCUGGACCAACACUGACGCUGAGUGAGCGAAAGCCAGGGGAGCAAACGGG